rnacentral:sRNA from 1 species
CAGUCGGUUCUUCACGCAGAUGGCGUUG